rnacentral:rRNA from 2 species
AUUGAACGCUGGCGGCAUGCCUUACACAUGCAAGUCGAACGGUAACAGGUCUUCGGAUGCUGACGAGUGGCGAACGGGUGAGUAAUACAUCGGAACGUGCCCGAUCGUGGGGGAUAACGAGGCGAAAGCUUUGCUAAUACCGCAUACGAUCUACGGAUGAAAGCGGGGGAUCUUCGGACCUCGCGCGGACGGAGCGGCCGAUGGCAGAUUAGGUAGUUGGUGGGAUAAAAGCUUACCAAGCCGACGAUCUGUAGCUGGUCUGAGAGGAUGAUCAGCCACACUGGGACUGAGACACGGCCCAGACUCCUACGGGAGGCAGCAGUGGGGAAUUUUGGACAAUGGGCGAAAGCCUGAUCCAGCCAUGCCGCGUGCAGGAUGAAGGCCUUCGGGUUGUAAACUGCUUUUGUACGGAACGAAAAGCCUCUUUCUAAUAAAGAGGGGUCAUGACGGUACCGUAAGAAUAAGCACCGGCUAACUACG